rnacentral:lncRNA from 1 species
AAAAGGUCCAGUGGUGUGGGCAUGUCGGGUCAUCUCCUCUGACGUAAAGGGCAGCUCAUUGCACCCUGUCCCUUCCACCAUCAGGAAAGAAGCACAACUCUCAGUGGCGUCUCUGGGUUUGGGGAACAGCGCAUUCAACACUGGGGACUCCUGCUUUGGCCCAUUUCUUGGGUGACACAGAAGGCUGCAAGUUUGGAGCGUCUAUGAUGCAUGCAUCCGUGCUUGGGACACGUGACCCGCCAGACCCUGGGGUCCUAGAGGUAUCUGUAGGAGAAAAGCUCCCAUAGGAAAGCCGUAGUGCAGGUCCCGAGGUGCUGGAACAAGGCCAUGCCAUUUGCAGAAGAGAAGGGCUCCUGAGAUGCCACCAGGCCCCAUUAGAAACUAAGCAUCUGACUGGGGGACAUCCAGUGGCCAAGUGGCCACAACUUUUCAUCAUGAGCUGAUGAGCCACCUGCCAGCUCACAAGGCCAGGCCUCUGUCACAACACAGAAGGGCACAUCAGGGAUGGGCUCACAAAGGUCCCGAAGCUGCAUGAACAGGAGGCCUAGAUCCCAUGCCACCUACCACUGUUGCACCAAUGCCCCUCUCAGCUCACACCUCGUGGGGGUCUCCCCGUGACCAGCUGAGAGGACGGACAAGGCUGAGGUUGGUUCGUGCAUGGAUCGGGCUCAGUGUUGGUGUGCGCUGAAGACAAUUGCGGUUGCACUCACUUCCUGCUGGGGGCGUGGCCUCAAAGACAGUGGGCGGAGCUUUGGGUGGACCCCUGGCCACCUAUGUGUGUAAAGAGAGAAGUGGCCUGAGGUCAGGGUAUGCGUGGGCUCAGGGGCAGUGGCUGAACUGGUCGGGAGAGUCUGCAAGGAGCAAGACAGGAAGAAUGGGAAGAUGUGGGGGAGGCGUGUGCGUGGACUGGGGGAGGGGCACACCGCGUGAGGAUCCUCGUCUCCCACGUUAACCCCUGGGAGCAUCCGGUGCACAGGGACACUAAACAACCAGGUGGACGGGAUGACCCUGCCAGCCUUUGUCCUGGGCGGCCACCGCACUUGGGCCACAGGCUCAUGAAGUGGAACAGUUACGGUGGCAGAGCUGGACGCCACUCCUGGGCCCGAGAGAAGGUGUUUCUACUCAUCGAGGCUGCUGUGGUUGCUGCACCUCUGCGUGUCUGACCUGUCAGCUACUGAGGCCGACUCUAAGCUCCCGAGAUGGUACCAUCCCCUUGAGGCGGCCAACCAGCCAGGCACUUGGUGGCAAGUUAAUUUCAUUGGACCCCCUUCCAUCUUGGAAAAGGCAGGGACGUGGUAAGGGUUCCACCCAACUUCAAGCUGCCGUUCUGCCUGUCUCUCUGGGCCCCCGUGCCAGUGGCGCAGCAGGCACAGAAAGGCGACUCCAUGCGGGCAGGAUGCGAGGUCCCGGCCAUCAUGAGGAACCAGUGCUGCUGGAUGGUGGGGACAGGGAGGGUGUGACGGGCACUCAGGUGUCCACCCAGGUGGGUCUUGGUACUCCCGUGCCCAGUGUUACCGUAAAUGGCACAUACAGCAACCAUGGC